rnacentral:rRNA from 1 species
AGAGUUUGAUUAUGGCUCAGGAUGAACGCUAGCUACAGGCUUAACACAUGCAAGUCGAGGGGAAACGACAUCGAAAGCUUGCUUUUGAUGGGCGUCGACCGGCGCACGGGUGAGUAACGCGUAUCCAACCUGCCCACCACUUGGGGAUAACCUUGCGAAAGUAAGACUAAUACCCAAUGAUAUCUUUAGAAGACAUCUGAAAGAGAUUAAAGAUUAUCGGUGAUGGAUGGGGAUGCGUCUGAUUAGCUUGUUGGCGGGGUAACGGCCCACCAAGGCGACGAUCAGUAGGGGUUCUGAGACGGAAGGUCCCCCANAUUGGAACUGAGACACGGUCCAAACUCCUACGGGAGGCA